rnacentral:rRNA from 1 species
AUUGAACGCUGGCGGCAGGCUUAACACAUGCAAGUCGAGCGGAGAUGAGGUGCUUGCACCUUAUCUUAGCGGCGGACGGGUGAGUAAUGCUUAGGAAUCUGCCUAUUAGUGGGGGACAACAUUCCGAAAGGAAUGCUAAUACCGCAUACGUCCUACGGGAGAAAGCAGGGGAUCUUCGGGCCUUGCGCUAAUAGAUGAGCCUAAGUCGGAUUAGCUAGUUGGUGGGGUAAAGGCCUACCAAGGCGACGAUCUGUAGCGGGUCUGAGAGGAUGAUCCGCCACACGGGGACUGAGACACGGCCCAGACUCCUACGGGAGGCAGCAGUGGGGAAUAUUGGACAAUGGGGGAAACCCUGAUCCAGCCAUGCCGCGUGUGUGAAGAAGGCCUUAUGGUUGUAAAGCACUUUAAGCGAGGAGGAGGCUACUGAGACUAAUACUCUUGGAUAGUGGACGUUACUCGCAGAAUAAGCACCGGCUAACUCUGUGCCAGCCGCCGCCGUAA